GGGGACUCGCGAGUUAGCAGCCGGCCUGUUGAGGUCAGAGGAGGCGGGGUGCGUCCAAGCCUAGCGACUGCGCGUGCUUAAAGCUCUGGAGCAGAGAACGAGCGAGCGGCCUGAGCAACCCCAGCCCGUGACACCACCCGAACCACGCGCCACUACAGCUUUCCCGGCAUGGGGCGGGGGGCAAAUGCGGGGUGCUCUCCAUCCAGAGAGAGCUACGUUGUCCGCGGCUACGUGGACAACAGAGCGACCAUGUUCCCUCUGCAGGCCCACCCAGGGAAGAAGCCCACUAUACUCAGUAACAUUGUAGAGAUGGGAUGCUCCUGGUGGGAUGCUGCCCCACAGGCCGGAGUGCACAGCCCAGACCUUCAUCCAACACGCAGACCAAGAAUUACCCAACCAUAGAUGUCAAUGCUGAUGAAGUUGAGAACCAAGGGGCUGGUGAGAUGGCUCAGUGGGUAAGAGCACCCGACUGCUCUUCCGAAGGUCCAGAGUUCAAAUCCCAGCAACCACAUGGUGGCUUACAACCAUCUGCAACAAGUUCUGACUCCCUCUUCUGGAGUGUCUGAAGACAGCUACAGUGUACUUACAUAUAUUAAUAAAAUUAAAAAAGAAAAAAA
rnacentral:lncRNA from 1 species